UGAGGAACAUGACCUUCGGCGGGGGAUAGCCGGCCCAACGGCCGGGUAAUACCGCGUACGACCACAUGGGGACAUCCCUGAGUGGUGAAAGCAGCAAUGCGCCGAUGGAGUGCCUCGCGGCCUAUCAGCUAGUUGGUGUGGGUAACGGCCCACCAAGGCGACGACGGGUAGCCGGCCUGAGAGGGUGACCGGUCACACUGGGACUGAGACACGGCCCAGACUCCUACGGGNGCAGCAGG
rnacentral:rRNA from 1 species